rnacentral:rRNA from 1 species
GACGAACCGAGCGAACGUUGUUCGGAAUCACUGGGCUUAAAGGUCGCGUAGGCGGGCUGCCGCGUCCGGGGUGAAAUGCCACGGCUCAACCGUGGAACGGCCUCGGAUACGGGCGGUCUCGAGGGGGGUAGGGGCAUGCGGAACUGUGGGUGGAGCGGUGAAAUGCGUUGAUAUCCACAGGAACUCCGGUGGCGAAGGCGGCGUGCUGGACCCCAUCUGACGCUGAGGCGCGAAAGCCAGGGGAGCAAACGGG